rnacentral:rRNA from 1 species
GAUGAACGCUGGCGGCAGGCCUAACACAUGCAAGUCGAACGGUAGCACAGAGAGCUCGCUCUCGGGUGACGAGUGGCGGACGGGUGAGUAAUGUCUGGGAAACUGCCCGAUGGAGGGGGAUAACUACUGGAAACGGUAGCUAAUACCGCAUAACGUCGCAAGACCAAAGUGGGGGGCCUUCGGGCCUCACACCAUCGGAUGUGCCCAGAUGGGAUUAGCUAGUAGGUGGGGUAAUGGCUCACCUAGGCGACGAUCCCUAGCUGGUCUGAGAGGAUGACCAGCCACACUGGAACUGAGACACGGUCCAGACUCCUACGGGAGGCAGCAGUGGGGAAUAUUGCACAAUGGGCGCAAGCCUGAUGCAGCCAUGCCGCGUGUAUGAAGAAGGCCUUCGGGUUGUAAAGUACUUUCAGCGGGGAGGAAGGCGGUGAAGUUAAUAGCUUCACCGAUUGACGUUACCCGCAGAAGAAGCACCGGCUAACUCCGUGCCAGCCGCCGCUGUAA